rnacentral:ncRNA from 2 species
UGAUUUAUCAACGCAGACGUGACAAUUUC